UGGGUGUUUCAGUGGUGGUCUCAGCAGACCCUUAUGAGCACAAGUCUUCUCCACCACCACCAUAUGAGUACAAGUCUCCACCACCACCCUCACCUUCACCUCCACCAUAUGAAUAUAAGUCUCCUCCCCCACCACCAUAUGAGUACAAGUCUCCACCACCACCCUCUCCUUCACCACCACCAUAUGAGUACAAGUCUCCUCCCCCACCACCAUAUGAGUACAAGUCUCCACCACCACCCUCACCUUCACCUGCACCGUAUGAAUACAAGUCUCCUCCCCCACCACCAUAUGAAUAUAAAUCUCCUCCCCCACCACCAUAUGAGUACAAGUCUCCACCACCACCCUCUCCUUCACCUGCACCAUAUGAAUACAAGUCUCCUCCACCACCACCAUAUGAAUAUAAGUCUCCUCCCCCACCACCAUAUGAGUACAAGUCUCCACCACCACCCUCUCCUUCACCUCCACCAUAUGAGUACAAGUCUCCUCCCCCACCACCAUAUGAGUACAAGUCUCCACCACCACCCUCACCUUCACCUGCACCGUAUGAAUACAAGUCUCCUCCCCCACCACCAUAUGAAUAUAAGUCUCCUCCACCACCCUCUCCUUCACCUGCACCAUAUGAAUACAAGUCUCCUCCACCACCACCAUAUGAAUAUAAGUCUCCUCCUCCACCUUCACCCUCUCCACCACCACCAUAUGAGUACAAGUCUCCACCACCACCCUCUCCUUCACCUGCACCAUAUAAAUACAAGUCUCCUCCACCACCACCAUAUGAAUAUAAGUCUCCUCCUCCACCUUCACCUUCACCUGCACCAUAUAAAUACAAGUCUCCUCCACCACCACCAUAUGAAUAUAAGUCUCCUCCCCACCACCAUAUGAGUACAAGUCUCCACCACCACCCUCUCCUUCACCUGCACCAUAUAAAUACAAGUCUCCUCCCCCACCACCAUAUGAGUACAAGUCUCCACCACCACCCUCUCCUUCACCUGCACCAUAUAAAUACAAGUCUCCUCCACCACCACCAUAUGAAUAUAAGUCUCCUCCUCCACCUUCACCCUCUCCACCACCACCAUAUGAGUACAAGUCUCCACCACCACCCUCUCCUUCACCUGCACCAUAUAAAUACAAGUCUCCUCCACCACCACCAUAUGAAUAUAAGUCUCCUCCUCCACCUUCACCCUCUCCACUACCACCAUAUGAGUACAAGUCUCCACCACCACCCUCUCCUUCACCUGCACCAUAUGAGUACAAGUCUCCUCCCCCACCACCAUAUGAGUACAAGUCUCCACCACCACCCUCACCUUCACCUGCACCGUAUGAAUACAAGUCUCCUCCCCCACCACCAUAUGAAUAUAAGUCUCCACCACCGCCCUCUCCUUCACCUGCACCAUAUGAAUACAAGUCUCCUCCACCACCACCAAUGAAGCCUCCACAUCCACCAUACUACUAUAAUUCUCCACCACCACCAGUGAAGCCUCCACAUCCGCCAUACUACUAUAAUUCUCCGCCACCACCAGUUAAGCCACCACAUCCACCAUACUACUACACUUCUCCUCCACCACCACCAAUGAAGCCUCCACAUCCACCAUACUACUAUAAUUCUCCACCACCGCCAAUGAAGCCUCCACAUCCGCCAUACUACUAUAAUUCUCCACCACCACCAGUUAAGCCACCACAUCCACCAUACUACUACACUUCUCCUCCACCACCACCAAUGAAGCCUCCACAUCCACCAUACUACUAUAAUUCUCCACCACCGCCAAUGAAGCCUCCACAUCCGCCAUACUACUAUAAUUCUCCACCACCGCCCUCUCCUUCACCUGCACCAUAUGAAUACAAGUCUCCUCCACCACCACCAAUGAAGCCUCCACAUCCACCAUACUACUAUAAUUCUCCACCACCACCAGUGAAGCCUCCACAUCCGCCAUACUACUAUAAUUCUCCACCACCACCAGUGAAGCCUCCACAUCCACCAUACUACUACACUUCUCCACCACCACCAGUUCCUUACCACCCCCACCCCCACCACCCCAUGCUCGUUAAGGUAGUUGGAAAAGUUUACUGCUACAGAUGCUACGACUGGGACUACCCAAAGAAAUCCCAUGACAAGAAACAUCUCAAAGGUACGUCUUCCCUCUCCAUUCCAUAUCUGCUGAAAUUUUUUCUGCUUGCAAGAUGACAUCAUUUUUUCUUUUUAAUCCAAUUAAAAAAAUUAAAAAUCCCAAUCCUUAAAUUGCAACAUAUUUUAAGUCAACUUCCAUGAUGAUUGUAAUAGAUUUUGGUACAGAAACGUUCCUUAAACUUGAAAAUGAAAUGGGUUACGUUAGUAAUUCUGAAAAUGAAGGUUGGUCCAUUCUUUGAAAGCAAUUUUUGCUUUUCUUUUGUUAUUUGCAACAGCAAAAAGAAUACUUUAACGUAAAUGAGAAAAAAGUUUGAUGACAUAUUCUUGAAUUUAUGCAUAUUUAGUAAUUUAUGUCAUGAUUAAGCAGUCAAUUAAACAACCGUUAAUUGUUGUGUGUUUGUCUCAUAAAUUCCUGGAUCCCAAUUGAAAAGGUUGCUUUGUCAUACGGGAGACAACUUUUGUGUACAAAUCAUGGCAUCUUUGACUACGUAGUCCAAAUAUAAUCAUCCACGUUAGAGUAUCAUUUUAUUGAAUAAAAACUGUGUCCAGAUCGUUAAGCUUGACAUUUUUUAUAUGUGAAGUUAUAAUCAAUAGCCAUGUGUUAGAAAAGUAGAAUAGUUUUUAAAUUGGAAAAAGACAAAUUAGUUGUUGGACUAAGUGCUUGUGGCAGCUGGAGAUCCCAAAUUUUUCCAAUAGAUUAUCAGUUUGUCCAACAUUUGGUACUGACUAAUAUUAAUUUUCAUUUUAGUAAUCCAAAAAGAAAAAAAAAACAAGAAGAGCAUAAUUGCGAAAACCCGAAUAUGAUUUUAAUUAUUUCUAUCCACCAAUAAUUGUAGUUUUGAAUUUUCUGUCUACACAUUGUGCAGGAGCUGUAGUAGAGGUUACGUGCAAGGUUGGUGACAAGAAGAUUGUGGCAUAUGGAAAAACUAAGAUUAAUGGAAAGUACAGCAUCACACUUGAAGGGUUUGAUUAUGGCAAAUAUGGAGCUAAGGCAUGCAUGGCUAAGCUGCACAUGGCGCCAAAGGAUUCCAAAUGCAACAUUCCAACCAAUCUCCACUGGGGCAAAACGGGUGCUGAACUCAGAGUCAAGUCCAAGACUGACUAUGAAGUCGUGCUCUACGCAAAACCAUUUGCUUAUGCUCCCAAGACUCCUUAUGAGGAAUGUGAGAAGCCCAAGCCAACUCCUGCUCCUUACCACUACAUAUCUCCUCCGCCACCAACUUAUGUCUAUAAAUCACCACCACCUCCACCACCAACUUACCUAUACAAGUCACCGCCACCACCAGUGAAACCUCCACCAAAGCCGUAUUAUUACGUCUCCCCACCACCACCAACUUAUGUCUAUAAAUCACCACCACCUCCACCACCAACUUACCUAUACAAGUCACCGCCACCACCGGUGAAACCUCCGCCAAAGCCGUAUCAUUACGUCUCCCCACCACCACCUACUGUAUCUCCACCGCAUUAUUACUACACAUCACCACCACCACCGGUGAAACCUCCGCCAAAGCCGUAUCAUUACAUCUCCCCACCACCACCGGAGAAAUCUCCACCACCACCCUAUCCUUACAUCUCCCCGCCACCGCCGGAGAAAUCUCCACCACCACCCUAUCCUUACAUCUCCCCACCACCGCCGGAGAAAU
rnacentral:lncRNA from 1 species